rnacentral:rRNA from 1 species
CACCUCAGCAUUUGGGUUGCUCCUUGCUGAUCUUACCUGAAGUCUGAAGCUGAACAGAGUCAGGCCAAUUUAGUACUUGGAUGGAAGACCACCUGGGAAUCCUAGAUGCUGUAGGGU